rnacentral:sRNA from 1 species
UUAUCAGCCAUGGGGAAUGCAGUUCCCCAUUAUUCCAAAGAAUAGAUGCAACAUAGAUGCCAGUAGUGCAAGUUUCCUGAAACUGCCAUGUCAAUGUGUUUCAACCUUGCCCUGGAGGGGUCACGUCUGGGAAAGAAAGGAUAGUUCAGUCUCCGUGUUUACUAAUCCAAAAGUGCC